GGCUCCAUGGUCAAGCGGUCAAGACACCGCCCUUUCACGGCGGUAACCCGGGUUCGAUUCCCGGUGGAGUCACCA
rnacentral:tRNA from 8 species